GCUUCUGUAGUGUAGUGGUUAUCACAUUUGCCUUACACGCGAAAGGUCCCUGGUUCGAAACCAGGUAGAAACA